rnacentral:rRNA from 1 species
GCAGGCUCGCGCUUGAAUACAUUAGCAUGGAAUAAUGAAAUAGGACGUUCGAUCCUAUUUUGUUGGUUUCUAGGAUUGACGUAAUGAUUAAUAGGGAUAGUUGGGGGCAUUAGUAUUCAAUUGUCAGAGGUGAAAUUCUUGGAUUUAUUGAAGACUAACUACUGCGAAAGCAUUUGCCAAGGAUGUUUUCAUUAAUCAAGAACGAAAGUUAGGGGAUCGAAGACGAUCAGAUACCGUCGUAGUCUUAACCAUAAACUAUGCCGACUAGGGAUCGGAUGAUGUUACUUUUAAUGACUCAUUCGGCGCCUUACGGGAAACCAAAGUGUUUGGGUUCCGGGGGGAGUAUGGUCGCAAGGCUGAAACUUAAAGGAAUUGACGGAAGGGCACCACCAGGCGUGGAGCCUGCG